rnacentral:rRNA from 1 species
UACGUAGGGUGCGAGCGUUGUCCGGAAUUAUUGGGCGUAAAGAGCUUGUAGGCGGUUUGUCGCGUCUGCCGUGAAAAUCCGGGGCUCAACCCCGGACUUGCGGUGGGUACGGGCAGACUAGAGUGUGGUAGGGGAGACUGGAAUUCCUGGUGUAGUGGUGAAAUGCGUAGAUAUCGGGAGGAACACCAGUGGCGAAGGCGGCGUCCUGGACCAACACUGACACUGAGGAGCGAAAGCCAGGGGAGCAAACGGG